rnacentral:rRNA from 1 species
AUUGAACGCUGGCGGCAUGCCUUACACAUGCAAGUCGAACGGCAGCACGGGAGCAAUCCUGGUGGCGAGUGGCGAACGGGUGAGUAAUAUAUCGGAACGUGCCCAGUCGUGGGGAUAACGUAGCGAAAGCUACGCUAAUACCGCAUACGAUCUAUGGAUGAAAGCGGGGGAUCGCAAGACCUCGCGCGAUUGGAGCGGCCGAUAUCAGAUUAGGUAGUUGGUGAGGUUAAAGGGCUCACCAAGCCGACGAUCUGUAGCUGGU